rnacentral:rRNA from 1 species
AAAUGAUAGGAAUGCUUAGUGGCGGACUGGUGAGUAACGCGUGAGGAACCUGCCUUUCAGAGGGGGACAACAGUUGGAAACGACUGCUAAUACCGCAUGACGCAUUUUGAUCGCAUGGUCGAAAUGCCAAAGAUUUAUCGCUGAAAGAUGGCCUCGCGUCUGAUUAGAUAGUUGGCGGGGUAACGGCCCACCAAGUCGACGAUCAGUAGCCGGACUGAGAGGUUGACCGGCCACAUUGGGACUGAGAUACGGCCCAGACUCCUACGGGAGGCAGCAGUGGGGAAUAUUGGGCAAUGGGCGCAAGCCUGACCCAGCAACGCCGCGUGAAGGAAGAAGGCUUUCGGGUUGUAAACUUCUUUUAAGUGGGAAGAGCAGAAGACGGUACCACUUGAAUAAGCCACGGCUAACUACGUGCCAGCAGCCGCGGUAAUACGUAGGUGGCAAGCGUUGUCCGGAUUUACUGGGUGUAAAGGGCGUGCAGCCGGGCAUGCAAGUCAGAUGUGAAAUCUCAGGGCUUAACCCUGAAACUGCAUUUGAAACUGUAUGUCUUGAGUGCCGGAGAGGUAAUCGGAAUUCCUUGUGUAGCGGUGAAAUGCGUAGAUAUAAGGAAGAACACCAGUGGCGAAGGCGGAUUACUG